AAUUCAUCUUUUUCCGGCUAUAAAUAGAAUACCCAAGCCCUUGUUGAAGCCACAAGCACUCGUGAAACAUCAAAAGGAAGGUCAAGAAGAAACUAGCACUCAAAGAAGCAUCAACAAUGUCUGAGUGCCCUGCAGGCAAAAACUCUUGGCCUGAGCUAGUAGGGGAAGAUGGAGACAUAGCCGCGGCGAAGAUUGAGCAAGAAAACCAGAGAGUGAAAAAGGCCAUCGUUGUGGAUGAAAGUGCAAUUGUCACCACCGAUUUUCGUUGUGCCAGAGUUUGGGUCUUCGUAAAUAAAGAAGGCAAAGUUUCUGUGGUUCCCAAAAUUGGUUAAUUAACCAAAAGUGGCACAAAGUUUCCAUAUUUGGGCCUUGGCUUUUUUACCUUACAAUAUUUCAAUUUCUGAAUUUUCGAAGUGCGAAGUCAUGCAUGGCUUCAUUCACGCAUGCGUCCUCGUUUGAUGUUUUCUUUCAUGUUAUUCACGUACUUGUGAUAUGUGUGGUUAUUAUAUAUAUGGAAGUCAAUUU